CCCUUAGAUGUUCUGGGCUGCACGCGCGCUACACUGAUGCACUCAACGAGUUUACGACCUUGCCCGAUAGGGUUGGGUAAUCUUUUUAAAAUGCAUCGUGAUGGGGAUAGAUUAUUGCAAUUAUUAAUCUUCAACGAGGAAUUCCUAGUAAGCGCGAGUCAUCAGCUCGUGCUGAUUACGUCCCUGCCCUUUGUACACACCGCCCGUCGCUCCUACCGAUUGAGUGCUCAGGUGAAUAAUUCGGACUGCAGCAAUGUUUGGAUCCCGAACGUUGCAGCGGAAAGUUUAGUGAACCUUAUCACUUAGAGGAAGGAGAAGUCGCAACA
rnacentral:rRNA from 1 species